ACACUGAGCCAGAUUAUUCUGCAUGUGGGAAGUGAGGAACAGAGUUGCUCCUAACAAGACGACAUGAUGGUUUCUUCAAAUCUGGGGUAUUGUCUUCAUCUCUGCAUGACUCACUUGGCAAUUACAGGUGGUUUGAGUGUGUUAAAGGAACAUUUUUGGCUCUGAAAACAAAAAAAAAGGCAAAUUAGAUGAGAGCAUUUUACUUCUGUGAGCUACUCAAGUCUAUAACACAUGCAAAGGGAGAGAGGUUUGUGCAAAAUGUUUAGGUAAAGAUGUCUGAUUUGUGGUACAUUUAACUCCCUCGGCUCCUUCACAUUGAACAAAAACUACCAUGCAAGAUGUUUUUUGGACAAACCUUUUAUUCACUAAAAAUCUUUCCACCUAUCUAUGUGUCUUUAGUAGGAAAGAUGUAAAGCUUUAAGGCUUCUGCCCCUCAGGUAGAUCACCACCCUUAAAAUACUUUGAUGAGUUAAGGACAGAUCUUUUUGUUGACUAAUCUUCUGUUUAGCUUUAAAGUGUAGAUUAAAUCUAAUGGUGCUGUCAAUAAUUAAGAGAAGUCAAAAUAUGAAAUGACAACCAGAGAAUAACAGGGAAGAUUGUAACAUUAGUAAGUGAAUCUGGUUUAAGAUCAUCUCACAGUGCAACCCAUUAAUGCAUUCAUAAAGGUGGUGUUUUCCAGUAUUUACACAUAUUAAUGCAUUUAUAGAGGUGGUGUUUUACAGUAUAUCCACAUAUUAAUGCAUUCAUAGAGGUGGUGGUUAACAGUAUUUACACCUAUUAAUGCAUUCAUAGAGGUGGUGUUUUGCUCAGAGCAGACUCCACAACAGAAAC